UAGGGAAUCUUCGGCAAUGGGGGCAACCCUGACCGAGCAACGCCGCGUGAGUGAAGAAGGUUUUCGGAUCGUAAAGCUCUGUUGUAAGAGAAGAACGUGUGUGAGAGUGGAAAGUUCACACAGUGACGGUAACUUACCAGAAAGGGACGGCUAACUACGUGCCAGCAGCCGCGGUAAUACGUAGGUCCCGAGCGUUGUCCGGAUUUAUUGGGCGUAAAGCGAGCGCAGGCGGUUUAAUAAGUCUGAAGUCAAAGGCAGUGGCUUAACCAUUGUUCGCUUUGGAAACUGUUAAACUUGAGUGCAGAAGGGGAGAGUGGAAUUCCAUGUGUAGCGGUGAAAUGCGUAGAUAUAUGGAGGAACACCGGUGGCGAAAGCGGCUCUCUGGUCUGUAACUGACGCUGAGGCUCGAAAGCGUGGGGAGCAAACAGG
rnacentral:rRNA from 1 species